AAUAAGCGGAGGAAAAGAAACCAACAGGGAUUCCCUUAGUAGCGGCGAGCGAACAGGGAAGAGUCCAGCGCCGAAUUCCGCGCCUGUCACGGGUGUCUGGAAAAUGUGGCGUUUAGGAGGGAGCGUGCCGGUGGUUGACUUUGCAGCAAGUCCCCCUGACCGGGGCUGUUUCCCAUAGUGGGUGCGAGGCCCAUAGCUGCUCGGUCUCCUCCGGAUGCGACCUCUUGGGAGUCGGGUUACUUGAGAGUGUAGCCCUAAUCGGGUGGUAAACUCCACCUAAGACUAAAUACGGCCGUGAGACCGAUAGCAAACAAGUACCGUGAGGGAAAGUUGCAAAGAACUUUGAAGAGAGAGUUCAAGAGUACGUGAAACUGCUCAGAGGUAAACGGGUGGGCCCUCGAAAUCCUGUGGCGGGAGGGUUCAGUCGGAAUAGGCGGAUGUGUGCUCCGGAGGUUUUGUAUACGGAUCCACGUGCGGACCGGUUCCGUGUAGCACUGUUUCUGCUUUCGAACGACGCAAUUCCUUCCGCCCGUAUGGACGUCGCAGCCAGUUGGGUAGGUGCGCGAGACGGCCUUAAGGGCGGACGACGGCAGGUGACCGGUGGCGGGACGCAUGAGUCUUUUCGCCGGUUGUUAGCCAGUCUGCCAGUGGCUCGUCACCCGACUGAGGUUCUUACGGGGCCCGUUCAUGGGUCCUUAGCCACGUCUCCUCCCUCCCGUGUGGGGGCAGCG
rnacentral:rRNA from 1 species